CUGGUCCUACGGGAGGCAGCAGUGAGGAAUAUUGGUCAAUGGCCGGAAGGCUGAACCAGCCAAGCCGCGUGAGGGAUGAAGGUACAGAGUAUCGUAAACCUCUUUUGUCAGGGAACAAAGGCGGGGACGUGUCCCCGGAUGAGUGUACCUGAAGAAAAAGCAUCGGCUAACUCCGUGCCAGCAGCCGCGGUAAUACGGAGGAUGCGAGCGUUAUCCGGAUUUAUUGGGUUUAAAGGGUGCGCAGGCGGUCUGUUAAGUCAGCGGUCAA
rnacentral:rRNA from 1 species